AGCGGGUUGGGUGGUGUAGGACCGGCAGGGUUACACAAGUAAGCUAGAACAAGUGACUUGGUGAUGUGUGUUUGGCGUAAACCCAGCAAUAUGCCUAUUACAAAUCUUCUCACUGAGAUGUGUGAUGACGUCCAUCCAAAGCCACUGUUUAACCAUUCAUUAAAACCAUUCAUAAAAACUUGCUAGCAUUAAUUAGUUAAUGCUUUAAACUAAUAAUUUGUUAACUUAAGCAGUCUCUACUGUUUCAUGAUUACUCAAUCUGUAUGUCAGUGUCAUUUUGGCUGCUGUUGUGUUUUUAGGGUGACUCUGGUGGCCCUCUGAACUGUCUGGUCAACGGUAAGUAUGUUGUCCACGGUGUGACCAGCUUUGUGUCAGCUGCAGGUUGUAAUACCAACAAAAAGCCAACAGUCUUCACUCGUGUGUCAGCCUACAACAGUUGGAUUAAUGAUAUCAUUGGGAACUGAGAAGAUUAAAGGAAGAAAUACUCCAAUUACCUUUUAACAACUGCAACGACUAGAAAUACAAAAUAAUUCACAUGCAGCAUUGGACUAAUUAAUUGUGACUUCAUCUUAUCCAGUUAUUUUAUUUAUCCAGCAAACUGUAAUGCUUUUAGUAUCAUCACUAAGCAACAGAUGACAGAAUUUUACACGUAACACCUAGAUCUAUAUCUAGAACCAAAUUAUUUAAUUUAAUUUAAAAAAAAUUAUAUUUCACACAUAAGGUAAUGGUAUAGUUUAGGAUUUUUGAGGUAAUGUAUUUAAAAAUGACUUCUAUUCUCGCAAAACACACCAGCAAUAAAUAGCUCAGAAGUAAACAAACAAAAUAAAGAUACAUAAUCUGUAUGAGUAAAAUGUAUAUUUAUAUUAAGUCAAAGUGUUUCUUUAUUUCUUUAUGUUAGCCUUUAUGGUGAAUUUACACCGUUCUUUCAGAAACAUUGAAUGUUUGAAGGUUUGAUGUUGAAGAUGAUCAAUAAAAGUGGACCAGGCCUGGGAAAUUUGUUUAAAAGUUGUAAGGGGGCGUCCACUUUUCUUUUUCUUUGUAUUUAUUUUAAUUAAAGAAUCAAAGAUUGUUAAAAGCUU